AGUGCGAGGAGCUUUUCCGAAGCUGUCCAGGGGCAGGCGGCUGGAUGCGCUUGUAUGGUACCGUGGCGCUGCCUGAGCAGGGCCCUGGGAGGUACCGGUGCGAUCCGGCAGUAGGGAACCGCGGGAGUCUGCUAUUUGGGAAAACCUUUAUUUGAUGCCUGUGUUAGAAGUAGAGGACUCAAUGUGAAAGAGACAACAAGAGUCGUCCAGAGAAGGGCAGCGAAGCUGGCGAAGGGACUGGAGCAUUAGUCUUAUGAGGAACAGCUGAUGGAGCUGGGGGUGUUUAGCCUGGAGAAAAGGUGGAGAAGAGGAGGCUCAAGGGUGGUGUUAUCGCUCUCCCAACUACCUGAAAGAUGCUUCACAGAUGAGCUGAAGUGGAACCACGAAAACUCUGAUUUAAGAUGUGUGGAAGACCUCAGAAAGUAGUAAUAUUUGACCAAAAGUUAAAUGUGAAAAAGAACAGGAAAUGGGAAGAAAACCAAGAGACUUUCAGAUCAAGAGGCAGAGUAUAAGGAUACAUAUUCUAUUUUUUUUUUUAUUUUCAGCCUCAACAUUUAAUAUUAUUUGUCAUUAACUGAAGAUAUUGGUCGAAAAAGUUCUUUGCAGAAAUUAAUUAAGUCAAACAAAAGAGGGAGCUCUUUGUACACCUGUCCAGCUUUUUCCUAUGAUUACUUUACCAAGACCCUGUGGUAUAUUCCUGUGUAGAAAUAUACUUAAAUGCUUUUCUAAACAGGAAACCUUGUUGAGGGUGUGUGUGUGUGUGUGUGUGAAGAGAAUCAAUUAAUACCCAUACUUUAGUUAUUGAUGAUUGACAGUGCCUUUACGUGACAAAUUCAUGCUUAUGUGCGGUUUUUACAAGACUGGAAGAUGAAGAAAAGUCAGUGAAAAUGUAAAAACAUUGUCUGAUUGUGCUGAAUUAUAGAAAAAACACACCAGAACAACUGUGUUGUGUGAACAUAUGCCAUUAAUUCGACAGGAUAAUUAAUGGAGUGGAAUAAAGUAAAAUAAAUAUUAAAA